GUAAAAAAUUCGCACCAAAAUUUCCCACUUAAACUAUUCCCUCUGAAAUUUCCCACUUUCCCUCUAAAACAUUUCAUUAAAAGUCUAAGUGAUUCCAGUUAACCCUAUUUCUCUAGGGUUUGAAACCCACAGCCUACUUCACUUGAUUUUCAAAAAAUAGGACAGUCCAUUGCACCCAAUCUUCGUCAAAAAAGGGAAAGAAGAAAAUGAUUGCACCCAAUCGGUUACGCUCUUCAGAAGCAGGAGAUCUGAUUUACUUUAUUUGAUUUCUCCAAAGAUCUAAGUUACACGGUCAAUUUGUCAAUACAACAAGAAAGAGACAUGCUCUAUGAUACUGGGAUAUAACUAUGUUUGUCAAAGGUAAUGUUUUGCUGCACAUGGAUAUUCUCCCGGUUUUUCUGGUGCUGCUACUUUUUUGUAUAUGUAUUGAGCUUAGGGGAGCCAGUACUAGACAUUGUUAUCUUGUGUCUAGCUCCACUCCUUUGAAACUUCUACAAGAAUUGAUGAUCCAAGAAUUUCUGUCUUCUAUCAAAUUCUGCUGUGGUUUACCGACAAGAAAAUGUGAUUCAACUUUCAAGUCCCCUUUCCGAAAGUUUGUUGUGCCAACGAAGAAGUGACCUUAACAACAAAGUGGAUUACUUUUCGCAAGUAUUAAUCAAAUUGAAGGAACAAUAGAAUUAGUCAAGUAAUGCACAGGCUGCGAGAGACAAAAAUUUUCCAGAUUCCUCUAGAUCAAACUCCUAGUCCAAUUCUUGAAAAGGAAAAUUCUUGUGAUGCAAUUAAAAGUGGUGGCUAAAGUCAGUUUGAUCCAUUUGAAGUUAAGGAAGAAGAUUUUUGGACAAUACAUUUGGUUUUGUAAAGUUCAUAUUUAGCACGCAACUUGAAGCAAUUUGCUUUAUUGGUUGAUUGUAUUACAUGAAGUGUAUUCCUUUUUUUUUUGAAGUUCAUUGCCUGUAUGUGUUUGAAACAAUCUCUUUUGUUUAUUGAUAAUGAAGUGCUUGAGUUUUAUACUUAA